rnacentral:rRNA from 1 species
GACGUAGGGUGCGAGCGUUGUCCGGAUUUAUUGGGCGUAAAGAGCUCGUAGGCGGCUCGUCGCGUCGACCGUGAAAACCCGCGGCUUAACUGCGGGCUUGCGGUUGAUACGGGCGGGCUAGAGUUCGGUAGGGGAGACUGGAAUUCCUGGUGUAGCGGUGAAAUGCGCAGAUAUCGGGAGGAACACCAGCGGCGAAGGCGGCCAUCUGGACAGAUAUUGACGCUGAGGUGCGAAAGCGUGGGGAGCAAACAGG